CCUACGGGUGGCAGCAGUGGGGAAUAUUGCACAAUGGGCGGAACCCUGAUGCAGCGACGCCGCGUGAGUGAAGAAGUAUUUCGGUAUGUAAAGCUCUAUCAGCAGGGAAGAAAAUGACGUUACCUAACUAAGAAGCCCCUGCUAACUACGUGCCAGCAGCCGCGGUAAUACGUAGGGGGCAAGCGUUCUCCGGAUUUACUGGGGGUAAAGGGAGGGCAGACGGCUUGUCAAGUCUGGAGUGAAAGGCGGGGGCCAAACCCCGGGACUGCUCUGGAAACUGUACAGCUGGAGUGCAGGAGAGGGAAGUGGAAUUCCUAGUGUAGCGGUGAAAUGCGUAGAGAUUAGGAGGAAUACCAGUGGCGAAGGCGGCUUACUGGACUGCAACUGACGUUGAGGUUCGAAAGCGUGGGGAGCAAACAGGAUUAGAGACCCUAGUAGUC
rnacentral:rRNA from 1 species